rnacentral:rRNA from 1 species
CUCCUACGGGGGGCAGCAGUAGGGAAUUUUCGUCAAUGGGGGGAACCCUGAACGAGCAAUGCCGCGUGAGUGAAGAAGGUCUUCGGAUCGUAAAGCUCUGUUGUAAGAGAAAAACGGGUAUCAUAGGGAAUGAUGAUAUCGUGAUGGUAUCUUACCAGAAAGCCACGGCUAACUACGUGCCAGCAGCCGCGGUAAUACGUAGGUGGCAAGCGUUAUCCGGGAUGAUUGGGCGUAAAGGGUGCGCAGGCGGUCCUGCAAGUCUGGAGUGAAACGCAUGAGCUCAACUCAUGCAUGGCUUUGGAAAC